rnacentral:RNase_P_RNA from 1 species
AGAGCAGGCGAGGAGGUUGCAAUAUUUCAACUUCUUGAAAUAUUGAGGAAAGUCCGGGCUCCCUAAAGACCAGACUUGCUGGGUAACGCCCAGUGCGGGCGACCGUGAGGAUAGUGCCACAGAAACAUACCGCCGAAGUUGGAUGGGUGAAUUGCCUCGCAAUCUGACCCAUCCAAUUGGUAAGGGUGCAAAGGUGCGGUAAGAGCGCACCAGCAACGUCGAGAGGCGUUGGCUCGGUAAACCCCGGUUGGGAGCAAGGUAAUGGAACGAGGGUUGGUCUUUUGCCUGUUCCGCAAAUUGAGCCGCUUGAGGUGUCUGGUAACAGAUAUCCCAGAUAGAUAACCCCCCUCUUGGCGCUAUGCGCUUUGAGAACAGAACCCGGCUUAUGUCCGGCUCUUUCC